rnacentral:rRNA from 1 species
GACGAACGCUGGCGGCGUGCUUAACACAUGCAAGUCGAACGAGAUCCCGACCGAGCGAAUCUUCGGAAGAGCGAGGGAGGGUGAAAGUGGCGAACGGGCGAGUAACGCGUGGGCAAUCUGCCCUUCACAGGGGGAUAACACCGGGAAACCGGUGCUAAUACCGCAUAAACCGGCAGCACCGCAUGGUGCAACCGGCAAAAGGAGUAAAAUCCGGUGAAGGAUGGGCCCGCGUCCAAUUAGCUAGUUGGUGAGGUAACGGCCCACCAAGGCGACGAUUGGUAGCCGGGCUGAGAGGCCGAUCGGCCGCAUUGGGACUGAGACACGGCCCAGACUCCUACGGGAGGCAGCAGUGGGGAAUUUUGGACAAUGGGCGCAAGCCUGAUCCAGCAAUGCCGCGUGCAGGAUGAAGGCCUUCGGUUGUAACUAGCUUUGUACGGACGAAAGACUCUUCUAAUAAAGAGGUCGAUAGACGGUACCGUAACGAAUAAGACACCGGCCUAACUACGUAGCCAGCAGCCGCGGU